AAAAGGAGAAACAGUUAUCCCUCACCGUAGGUCAAUUACGGGCCAAGCACUCUGCCAGGUGCUGCUUUGCAGGAGCCUUUCAUUUUCUUUGUCUACUGAACCCUGAAAAUGAUGGAGCCGGUCAUUUCCACACCUGUGGAAUUUUGUGGGUCACUUGCUAGUGAACCUUGCAAGGAUUUGGCAGACUGACUGAAUGCUUGUCCGAAGUCAUACUCAGCACCUUUCUCCGGAAACUGUAAGAAAAACAGAAACGAAGGAAUUCAUCUCAGGAAUCUCAUUACGAACAUGAUGGCAACAUAUCUGUGUUGUUCUGCUGCCUCAGCAGGUAGGACCUGGCCAACAACGCACCUCUGCAACCAAUCCUGAGCUCAUCUUUGUGGCCUUAUGAUUUUAAUCUCUCAUUUUAAUGAACAAUCUGCCUGUUAUUUAAUGAAAACUAGAAUCCCACUUCCUUGGGGUCUCAAAAACAUCAGUGUCUCUCUUAUUAUCGCUUUCCUGU